GUCCAAUUUUUUUUGUUUUGUUUUUUGAGCUAUUCACACUCCCUUCUGGCCAACUCUUCCAGCAGGGGCCUAACCCCCCUUUUGGACUAAGCCCGCCCCCCACCCUUGGUCUCUGGAGAAUCACACUGUCAGCAUCAGAAAGAGCCACCUGGCAUCCCAGGUGCUUCCUUUAGUUACUGGUCAACCUGCAGGCCUCACAGCACUGUCUUGCUCACCAACCACUGCUGCCCCAGUGGUGCCCACAGGCCACAUGCAAUCAGUGUCCCAAAGCACAACUCAGCAGCCAGGGGCCCAAGCUGCCCAGCUUUGCAAGUACUUGUAGAUUUUUCUCUGGUUUUCUUGCCUUCCUCUCAGGUUUUCAACAAGAGAGUCCAUUUGUGACAAUGACGUUCUGGUUUCCCCCAGUUAUUUUCCCCAACAGAGAAACCUUUAGUGUUGUUUGUUUUUAAGGCCACUCCCGUGGCAUAGAGAGAUUCCCAGGCUAGGGGUUGAAUCAGAGCUGUAGCUGCCUGCCUACACCACAGUCACAGCAAUGCCAGAUCCAAGCCGUGUCUGAGACCUACACCACACCUCACAGCAAUGUCAGAUCCUUAACUCAGAGUGAGGCCAGGGAUUGAGCCUGCAUCCUCGUGGUUCCUAGUCAGAUUUGUUUCCACUGCGCCACGACGGGAACUGAAACCUUUGGUUUUUCAAUGAUGCUGGCUCUUGAUGCUGCUCCCCAGCGUUUGACCCAGAGGAGAAAGGCACAUGGCACUCCUGGCAAUCACAACUCCCUUGACAGUCUACUUCACCCGGAUGCACGUCCCAUGCUGAAAACUCAUGCUUUUGGUCUAGUGUCUUGUCUUCAGACUGGAUACCAAAGCAUCACCCUCGAAGUCAUCAGAAACAAAUUCUCAGGCAGAACCACAAACUCUCCCUCCCCAAUUCUUCUCUUUGUCGAAUUCACAUCUCAUUUCAGGAAUCUUCUAAAAGCUUUACUUGAGAUACAAAUUACCUAUGCAUCAUCAAAUCACUUAUUUUAAGUGAACUAUUUUUAUUUAGUAUAUGGCUGUGCAAUCACCACAAUAAUUUUAAACAGUCCCCUCAACCCAAAAGGACUCCUGGUAUCCACUGGCAGGGGGCUUCCUUUCCUAGCCCCAGCCCCCAGCAACUAGUAAGCUACUUCCUAUCUGUGGUUUUUCCUCAUCUAAAUGCAAUAUAUGGAGGAGUUCCCAUCGUGGCGCAGUCGGGUUAACAAAUUCGCGUAGGAACCAUAAGGUUGCAGGUUCAAUCCCUGGCCUUGCUCAGCGGGUUGAGGAUCCGGCAUUGCCGUGAGGUGUGGUGUAGGUCGCAGACGCGGCUCAAAUCUGACAUUGCUGUGGCUCUGGCGUAGGCCAGCGGCUACAGCUCCGAUUAGACCCCAAGCCUGGGAACCUCCAUAUGCCAUGAGUGUGGCCAUAGAAAAGACAAAAAAAAAAAAAAAAAAAAAAAGGAAUAUGUGGUAUUUAGCAUCUGGCUUCUUCCAUUUUAAGUUUUGAGCUUCAUCCAAGUGGUAGCAUGCACCACUCCAUUCUUCUUCCUGUCUGAGUAGUGUUCCAUUUUAUGGAUAUUCCAAGCUGUUUACCCAUUCAAUGGUUGAUGGUAAUUUGCAGUAUUUCCAUUUGGGGGCUCCUAUGAACAAUGCUGCUAUAAACAUUAAUUUACAAGUUUCCUGUAGACAUAUUUUCUCAAUUCUCACGUGUAUUUUCCCAGGAACUGACGGGUUUUUUGGUAAAGCUAACAUUUAACUUUUUAAGAAACUGCUGAACUGUUACCCAGAGGGGCUGGUCCAGUUUCUCCAUCUUCACCAACAUUUGUCAUUGCCAGUUCUUUGGAUUACAGUUAUUUUGGUAUUGUUACUUGGUACAGUUGCUUGGGGUAAGUAGAAUCCCAGUUUUCAUUUGCAUUUUCCUAAUGACCAAGGCUGUUAGGCAUCUUUUUGUAUUUACUGGACAUUUGUAUAUCUUCCUUGGAGAGAUCCCUAUUCAAAUCCAUGGCAUUUUUACUUGGAUUACCUUGUUAAAGAGUUCUUUGUAUAUUCUGAGAACCAAUCUUUUUUUGUUGUUUUCUUAGGCCAGGCCUAUGGCAUGUAUACGUUCCCAGCCCAGGGACUGAACCCACCCCUCAGCAGCAACCCAGUCACCACAAUGACAACACCAGAUCCUUAACCUGCUGCAGCACAAGAACUCCGUGAACACCAACCUUGGUCUUUGUAAGGCCACACCCACAGCAUAUGGAGGUGUAGCUGCUGGCCUAUGCCACAGCCACGCCAGAUCUGAGUCACAGUUCAUGGCAAUGCCAAUCUUUUAACAAUAUGAUUUACAAAUUUUUUUCCCAAUCUGGGUUGUUUUCUCAUUUCCUUAAUAGUGGCUUCCAAUACACAGGGUUUUAAUUUUGAUGCAGUCUAACCUAUCAACUUUAUCUUUUAUAGAUUGUGCUUUUGGUGUUUUAUAUAUAAGAAAUCUUUAAGAAAACAACAGCCAGGGAGUUCUCUGGUGGCUCAGCGGGUUAAAGAUCAGAUGUUGUCACUGCACAGGCUCGGGUUCAAUCCCUGGCCCAGGAAUUUCUGCCUGCUGAGGAUGGGGCCAAAACCAACCAAACAAAAAAACAAACCAACGGUCGUGGAGAUUUUGCCUGUAAUUUCUUCUGCAUUUUAUACUUUUAGCUCUUACAUUUCGGCCUGUGGUCCAUUCCAUGUGCGCUUUUGUGUAUUGUAAAGGGUCUAAAUUCAUCUUUUUUCAUCGGAUAUCCAAUCCUUCCAGCCUCCUCUGUUGAAAGGGUGGUAUCUUCUCCAUUUAAUUGCCCCAGUACCUCUGAGGCAAAGCAAGUGGCCAUAAACGUAAGGAUUACUUUCAAGACUCUCAAUUGUUUCACUGACAUAGCUGCAUCUAUGUAGACAUGGCUUCAUUCCAAUGUCAUGCUAUCUUGAUUAUUGGUAGAUUAAGUUUUGAUAUUAGGAAGUAUAGUUCUCCAAAUUUGUUUUUAUUUUGCAAAAUUCUUUUGGCAGACUUCCCAUUGCGGUGCAGCAGAAACAAGUCCAACCAGUAUCCAUGAGGAUGAGGGUUCACUCCCUAGCCUCGCUCAGUGGGUUAAGUAUCCAGCAUUGACAUGAGCUGUGAUGUAAACUGCAGAUGCCGCUUGGAUCCUGCGUUGCUAUGGCUGUGGUAUAGGCUGGCAGCUGCAGCUCCAUUUCGACCCCUGGCCUGCGAACUUCUAUGUGUUGACGGCGUGGCCCUAAAAAAAGGCAAAAAAAAACCCAUUCUUUUGGCUAUUCUGAGUUCUUUUACAACUCCAUAAAAACUUCAGCAUCAGCUUGUUAAAUUCCUGCAAAAAAAUCUUGCUGGAAUUUUGACAGGGAAUGCCAUAUUAAUAAUGUAUCUUCCAACUCAUGAACAUGGACAGUCUCUCCAUUUAUUUAAAGAUCUUCUUGGGUUCAAUCUUCCACUUUUAUUAAAUUUAUUCCCAAGUAUUUCAUCCUUUUUGAUGGAAUUAGUUUCAGGAUGGAUAGUUCCUGCUAUAUUGUAUGUAGAAAAGCAAUGGACUUUUGUAUAUAGACCAUCUAUCGUGCAACCUUGCUGAACUGCUUUUAAUGUUUUAUGUGUGUAUCCCUUAAGAUUUUCAAUAUAGAGUCAUGCCAUCUGCAAGUAAAGAUAACUUUAUUUCUUCCUUUUCCAUCUGGACGCUUUUUAUUUUUUCUUGCUCGACUGCUGGGCUGUAAUCUACAGUUUAAUGUUGAAGAGAAGGAAUGAACGUGGACAUGUUUGACCUUCCUGACCUUGGGGGAGAAAGUUAGUACUCUGUCACCAUGCAGUAUGGUGUCAGCUGUUGCUUGUUUAAGGAUACCCUUUAUCAGGUUGAGGAGAUGCCCUUCUAGUCCAUGUUUUUGAGAGUUUUUUAUCAUGAAUGGUGUUACAUUUUGUCCAAUGCUUUCCCUCUGCCUUUUGAAAUGAAGGAUUUUUUGUUCUUCCAUCUAAUAAUAUAGUGGAGUAUAUUCAUCAGCUUUCAUGUAAAAUCUCACUUGGCUGUGCAUUUAAACCUUUCUAAAUGACAUUGGAUGUGUUGAAGAUAUUUAUAUCUAUAUGGGCUAGUGGUCUGUAGUGCUCUUGUGAUGUUUUUGUCUAGCUUUAAUGUCAGAAUAAUAGGAAAAUCGUAGCACAGAGCUGGUAAGUAUUCCCUCCUCUUCUAUUUUAGUCUGUGAAAGAUUCGCAUUAUUUCUUCUUUAAACAUUAUUAUUUCUUCUUUAAGCAUUCACCAGUGAAGCUAUCUAGCCCUGUUUUUAUGUCAUGGGUCAAGUCUAGUUUCUAGUUCAAUCUCUCCACUUGUUAUAGAUAUAAUGGAAUUUUCUAUUUCUUCUUGACAAAGUUUUGUUAAUUUGUGUCUUUUUUAGGGAAUGAUAAAAAACACAAUCUCUUUUAAAAUCAGAUCCAAAAAAAAAAAAAAAACCUUAGGAAGAUGAUUCAAAAAAAAAAGGAAAGAUAUCCCAUGCUCUUGGAUUAGAAAAAUUAAUAUUGUUAAAGAUGGCCAUACUACCCAUAGCAAUCUAUAGAUUUAUGCAAUCCCUAUCAAAUUACCCAUUAAGUUUUUCUAAGAACUAGAACAAAUAAUCUUAAAGUUUAUAUGGAACCACAAAUGACCCAAAGCAAUCCUGAGGAAAAAGAACAAAGCAAGAGGCAUAAUGCUUCCAGAAUUUAGACAAUUCUACUGAGCUACAUUAAUCAAAACAGUGUGAUAUUGGAACAAAAACAUGUAUGGAUCAAUGAACAGAACAGAAAGCCCAGAAAUACACCCAUGCACCUAUGGUCAAUCCUUGGCAAAGGAGACAAGAAUAUGCAAUGGGAAAGACAAUCUCUUCUGCAAGUGGUAUUGGGAAAGCUGAACAUGUAAAUCAAUGAAGUUAGAUCACACUUAAACACAGGCAAAACAUUCUCUGACACAAAGAGUACCAAUGUUUUCUUAUGUCAGUCUCCCAAGGCAACAGAAAUAAAAGCAAAAAUAAGCAAAGGGACCUAAUCAAACUUUUUCA
rnacentral:lncRNA from 9 species